GCGCUUCUCUCCCCUUCACUUACAGACGUUACUAUAUCGGACAUAUAGACCGUCAGUACGGCCUCUUUUCAGUCAAUACCGUUUAAAAUUGAUCAACAUGGCUUCUCCCUCAGUUCUCAUGGUUGCAGAAAAGCCCAGCAUUGCUCUUUCAAUUGCUUCUAUACUCUCCGGUGGUCGGAUGUCCACCAAGAAGGGUAGUACCGAGGUCCAUGAAUUUGAUGGAAUGUUUCUUGGAUUUCAUGCACAUUAUAAAGUGACAUCAGUAAUUGGGCAUAUUUUCAGUGUAGAUUUUCCACCAAAAUAUCAAAAUUGGACAGUCACUGAUCCUAUGGAUCUUUUUCAAGCUGACAUUGUUAAGACUGAAACAAACCCUAAGGCUCAUAUUUGUAGGCAUUUAAGUCAAGAAGCUCGUGGCUGUGGUCAUUUGGUAUUGUGGUUGGACUGUGACCGUGAAGGAGAAAAUAUAUGCUUUGAAGUGAUUGAAUGCAGCGGUUUCCAUAGAAAUGAUGCUAGAAGAAAGGUUUAUCGUGCGAGGUUUUCUUCAGUUACUGAGAAAGACAUUUUGAAGGCUAUGGACAACCUUGCUCAACCCAACAGAGAUGAGGCAUUAGCUGUAGAUGCUCGGCAAGAGAUAGAUUUAAAAGUUGGUGUUGCAUUUACAAGAUUUCAAACUAGCUUUUUCCAGGGAAAGUACGGAAAUCUUGAUUCAAGAGUUAUCUCCUAUGGGCCUUGUCAAACUCCUACCCUUGGCUUUUGUGUACAACGUUAUUUGCAAAUUGCUACUUUUAAACCAGAAAAAUUUUGGGCAUUGCAGCCUUACAUAAUAAUUGAUGGCUAUGAACUUCAACUAGAAUGGGAACGUCGCAGGUUAUUUGACUUAGAUGUUGCUAUGAUGUUUCAAAAGCAGGUAAUACAAGAUGGAAUAUUAGAAGUGAUUGAUAUAUCAGAGAAACAGGAAAGCAAAAGUCGCCCUUCUGGUCUGAACACAGUGAACCUUCUAAAGGUUGCUUCAAGUGCAUUAGGCAUUGGACCUCAAACAGCCAUGCAAUUAGCUGAACGCUUGUACACUCAAGGAUUUAUCAGUUAUCCGCGUACAGAAAGCACAGCCUACCCUUCCUCAUUUGACUUCAAAGGCACACUUGGUGCACUGGCAAACAAUUCAAUGUGGGGUAACUGUGUCCGGAGAUUGCUUGCUGAGGGCUAUCAAAAACCUCGAUUAGGAACUGAUGCAGGUGACCAUCCUCCUAUUACUCCAAUCUGUUUAGCAACUGAGGAUAUGCUAGGCAUAGAUGCUUGGAGACUAUAUCAGUAUGUCUGUCAACAUUUUAUAGCGUCUCUGUCUCCUGACUGCAAGUAUGUAAGGACUAAGGUGGAAUUUUCUGUUGGGAGAGAGUUCUUCCAUUGCAUAGGGAAGCAUGUUACAGUGGAAGGAUUCACGUCUAUUAUGCCAUGGUUGGCUGUAAGUGAUAAAAAUCUUCCUCGAUUUGCAAUGGGGGAGAAAAUAGAAGUUUCAAAAGUGGAGCUAUUUGAGGGCAAAACUGCUCCUGCAGAUUAUCUCAGUGAGAGUGAACUGAUUUCUCUGAUGGAGAAGAAUGGAAUAGGCACAGAUGCUUCAAUACCUGUACAUAUUAACAACAUAUGUGAACGUAACUAUGUGCAGGUACAAGCUGGCAGGAAGUUGGUUCCAACUACGUUAGGUAUCACCCUGAUAAGAGGCUAUCAAUGCAUUGAUCCGGAUCUAUGUUUACCUGAUAUUCGUAGUUUCAUUGAGCAACAGAUUACCCUUGUUGCCAAGGGCCAGGCAGAUCAUUCACGUGUUGUGCAGCAUGUACUACAACAAUUCAAGCAAAAGUACUGUUACUUUGUUAAGCAGAUCGACAAGAUGGAUGGAUUGUUUGAAGCACAAUUCUCUCAACUUUUUGACUCGGGCCGUGUUCUUAGUAAAUGUGGUAAAUGCCUGAGGUACAUGAAGUACAUUUCUUCUAUACCAUCACGUCUUUAUUGUGGUACAUGUGAGGAGGUUUAUUAUCUUCCUCAGAAGGGCACAAUCAAGCUAUACAAGGAACUAACAUGCCCUUUAGACAACUUUGAGCUGUUGAUAUUCUCCAUGGCUGGGCCAGAAGGCAAGACGUUCCCUUUCUGUCCACACUGCUACAAUAGUCCUCCUUUUGAAGGUAUAGAUACAUUGUUUGGUGCAAGUGAGACUGGUAAUUUCGGCAAGUUAGGGAAGGGAGCAGGUAUGCCAUGCUUCCUCUGCCCACAUCCAACAUGCAGACAUUCUCAGAUAGCUCAAGGAGUUUGUGCUUGUCCGGAAUGCAGUGGAACACUUGUUUUGGACCCAUUAAGUGCACCCAAGUGGAGACUUUAUUGCAAUAUGUGCAAUUGCCUUGUCUUGCUCCCUCAAGGUGCUCAUCGGAUAGCUACUACUCGGGAAAGGUGCCCUGAAUGUGAUUCAACAAUCAUAGAAGUGGACUUCAAUAAGAAUACAACGCCAUUGGAAGAUGGAGCUACCUUGCAUAUUGGUUGCAUUCUUUGUGAUGAUUUGCUUCAUUCACUUGUGGAGGUGAAGCACGGUAAAUCAUUUUUUAAACGCUUGGGUUUGAGUGGAAGGGGAAGACGAACGGGGAGAGGUGGUUACCGGGGAAGAGGACGGGGUUUUGGAAAAAGAGGGGACCCUAAAAUGAGCUUUCGG
rnacentral:misc_RNA from 1 species